GUGGGGAAUAUUGGACAAUGGGCGAAAGCCUGAUCCAGCAAUGCCGCGUGAGUGAUGAAGGCCUUAGGGUUGUAAAGCUCUUUUACCCGGGAUGAUAAUGACAGUACCGGGAGAAUAAGCUCCGGCUAACUCCGUGCCAGCAGCCGCGGUAAUACGGAGGGAGCUAGCGUUGUUCGGAAUUACUGGGCGUAAAGCGCACGUAGGCGGCUUUGUAAGUUAGAGGUGAAAGCCUGGAGCUUAACUCCAGAACUGCCUUUAAGACUGCAUCGCUUGAAUCCAGGGGAGGUGAGUGGAAUUCCGAGUGUAGAGGUGAAAUUCGUAGAUAUUCGGAAGAACACCAGUGGCGAAGGCGGCUCACUGGACUGGUAUUGACGCUGAGGUGCGAAAGCGUGGGGAGCAAACAGGAUUAGAUACCCCGGUAGUCC
rnacentral:rRNA from 1 species